UGGUGGAGUGAUUUGUCUGGUUGAUUCCGUUAACGAACGAGAUCUUGACCCUUCAAUGACAGUUUGAUCGACUUGUAGUUCAAUGCCUCGAUGCCUGGUUCUUGGUUUGGAUGAGAUCAAAUCAUGUACUCAAGGGGACGAUGCAUGUUUACAAUGCAUGGAAGUGCGAGCCAAUACCA
rnacentral:rRNA from 1 species